AUCCUUUUCCGGUUCAUGAGCAUGAUGAUUGGGUGUUCACACGGCUGUGUGACAUGUGCCUCCCUUCACUCUUGUUACGCAUCUGGCACAUUACCCGUCUGACC